rnacentral:rRNA from 1 species
CUACGGGAGGCUCCAGUGGGGAAUAUUGCACAAUGGAGGAAACUCUGAUGCAGCGACGCCGCGUGAAGGAAGAAGGUUUUCGGACUGUAAACUUCUAUCAGUAGGGAAUAAAAUGAAGGUACCUAACUAAGAAGCCCCGGCUAACUACGUGCCAGCAGCCGCGGUAAUACGUAGGGGGCAAGCGUUAUCCGGAAUUACUGGGUGUAAAGGGAGUGUAGGCGGUAAUGCAAGUCAGAUGUGAAAGCCAAGGGCUCAACCCUUGGACUGCAUUUGAAACUGCAUAACUAGAGUGCAGGAGAGGAAAGUGGAAUUCCUAGUGUAGCGGUGAAAUGCGUAGAUAUUAGGAGGAACACCAGUGGCGAAGGCGACUUUCUGGACUGUAACUGACGCUGAGACUCGAAAGCGUGGGGAGCGAACAGGAUUAGAUACCCUAGUAGUC